GGUUAAGCGACUAAGCGUACACGGUGGAUGCCCUGGCAGUCAGAGGCGAUGAAGGGCGUGCUAAUCUGCGAUAAGCGCCGGUAAGGUGAUAUGAACCGUUAUAACCGGCGAUACCCGAAUGGGGAAACCCAGUGUGACUCGUCACACUAUCAUUAACUGAAUCCAUAGGUUAAUGAGGCGAACCGGGGGAACUGAAACAUCUAAGUACCCCGAGGAAAAGAAAUCAACCGAGAUUCCCCCAGUAGCGGCGAGCGAACGGGGAGGAGCCCAGAGCCUGAAUCAGCAUGUGUGUUAGUGGAAGCGUCUGGAAAGGCGCGCGAUACAGGGUGACAGCCCCGUACACAAAAGCGCAUGUGCUGUGAGCUCGAUGAGUAGGGCGGGACACGUGGUAUCCUGUCUGAAUAUGGGGGGACCAUCCUCCAAGGCUAAAUACUCCUGACUGACCGAUAGUGAACCAGUACCGUGAGGGAAAGGCGAAAAGAACCCCGGCGAGGGGAGUGAAAAAGAACCUGAAACCGUGUACGUACAAGCAGUGGGAGCACAGGUUUACCUGUGUGACUGCGUACCUUUUGUAUAAUGGGUCAGCGACUUAUAUUCUGUAGCAAGGUUAACCGAAUAGGGGAGCCGGAGGGAAACCGAGUCUUAAC
rnacentral:rRNA from 1 species